rnacentral:rRNA from 1 species
AGAACAUCGACAUCUUGAACGCAUAUUGCGGCUACGGGGUAUCUCGUGGCCACGCCUGUCCGAGGGUUGGCUUUUUAUUUAUCGCGACGCCCAAAAUGUUGCGGCUUGGAAGUAGUGCUACCUGGCAAUAGUGAUUUGCUUGCUGUUCCUAAAUAUGAUGUUUGUGGAAUUAGUUGAGCGCGCCAGUAUUAAUUAUGUAGCUCCUUCCUAAUGUGACCGGUCGCAAUCAUAUUCGAAUUGUGUAUUUGAAUAAAAUUGUGGUAGCGGCUUGUGCUCAGGUUGUGGCUUAGUAUUGUUGUUGAUCAUGCCUGGGGUUGCUAGUUGUUACUUCAAUGUUGUUUAAGUGCUCAAUGUUAUUUGUCGAGUGUGAAAUAACGACUGACGGUGCAAUGUUUUUUUACCUAACCUCGGAUCAGACGUGAAUACCCGCUGAACUUAAGCAUAUCACUAAGCGGAGGAAAAGAAACUAACCAGGA